GGCGAGUGAGCGGCAACAGCUCAAAUUUGAAAUCUGGUCCCCAGGGCCCGAGUUGUAAUUUGCAGAGGAUGCUUUUGGUGAGGUGCCUUCCGAGUUCCCUGGAACGGGACGCCAUAGAGGGUGAGAGCCCCGUCUGGUUGGAUACCGAGCCUCUGUAAAGCUCCUUCGACGAGUCGAGUAGUUUGGGAAUGCUGCUCUAAAUGGGAGGUAUAUGUCUUCUAAAGCUAAAUAUUGGCCAGAGACCGAUAGCGCACAAGUAGAGUGAUCGAAAGAUGAAAAGCACUUUGAAAAGAGGGUUAAAUAGUACGUGAAAUUGUUGAAAGGGAAGCACUUAUGACCAGACUUGGCCCCGGUGAAUCAUCCAGCGGUUCCCGCUGGUGCACUUUGCCGGGGUUCAGGCCAGCAUCAGUUCGCUCCGGGGGAUAAAGGCUUUGGGAAUGUGGCUCCCUCGGGAGUGUUAUAGCCCAUUGCGUAAUACCCUGUGGCGGGCUGAGGUUCGCGCUUUAUGCAAGGAUGCUGGCAUAAUGGUCAUCAGUGACCCGUCUUGAAACACGGACCAAGGAGUCGUCUUCGUAUGCGAGUGUUCGGGUGUUAAACCCCUACGCGUAAUGAAAGUGAACGCAGGUGAGAGCCCUCCAGGGCGCAUCAUCGACCGAUCCUGAUGUUCUCGGAUGGAUUUGAGUAAGAGCAUACGGGGCCGGACCCGAAAGAAGGUGAACUAUGCCUGUAUAGGGUGAAGCCAGAGGAAACUCUGGU
rnacentral:rRNA from 1 species